rnacentral:rRNA from 1 species
AUGUUGUUUUUAGCUUCUGAGGAGUUUUUGGAGCUAGUCAAAAGUGCUCUUCUGGCAGCUCUUGAAGCUCUUUCUCCAGGAUCAUUAUUUGGGAUUUUAACGUUUAGCAGCAAGAUAGGACUAUAUGAUGUUCAAGGUCCAAUACCAAUUGUGAAAAACGUUUUUAUCCCUCCUGAUUCUGACGGCACCUUGCACGUGGACCUUAAAGAUGUCAUGCCAUUUUGUUCAUUUUUGGCUCCUGUUGGCACUUUCAAAGACCGCAUUGCUGAAGCACUAGAAACAAUUAAACCAAUAGCUUCAUGGGAAAGGGCAACUACUGCAUCACAAGUUCAAGAUCACGCAUUGCAUCAUACCCGUGGGUUUGGGGUAGCAAUUGAUGCUCUUGUCAACUACCUAAGUGUGGAAAAUGGAACUACCUUUGAACUUGCUAGAAUAUUUGCGUUUUUAUCUGGGCCUCCGAAUUAUGGGGCUGGCCAACUGGACGCAAGAAGCAAUGGGGACCACAAUACUGGUAAAGUGGUGGAUUCAAAUAAUACAUUACUGCCCGAAGAGACAAGUUUCUACAAAAAUCUGGCUGCUAGUGCUGUUCAAGCAGGUGCAUGUGUGGACCUUUUCGCGAUUACAAAUGAAUACACUGAUCUUACUUCCCUAAAAGUUCUGAGUGUUGAGAGUGGUGGCUCAUUGUUUCUGUAUUCAAAUACAGAUGAAUCAACACUUCCACAAGAUAUAUACAAAAUGCUAAAGCGUCCAUAUGCCUUUGGAUGUGUACUGCGGUUGAGAACAUCUCCAGAGAUCAAGAUUGCUGAUUCUUAUGGUCAUUUCUUUCCAGAUCCUCAAUACAUGCAUGUUCAGCACAUAAAUUGCUGUGAUUCGUUUGCUAGCUACACUUACGACUUUGAGUUUGAAAAGGAUUCUCAGUUUGCCAGGAAGUCAAGGCCUCCUAUUCUCCAAAUCGCAUUUAAGUACACGAUGAUAGUACACCAUGGUGAUACAUCAGAUGAUGCUUCCAAUUCUGGUAGUAGAUCUAAGUUCUCAGUGCAAAGGCGGCUAAGGGUGCGGACUAUCCAGUACAACACAACUGCUAAUAUCUGGGACCUGUAUGACUUUGUUGACCCAGAUGUGGUAUUGACGAUACUUGUACACCAGGUUAUUUUGGCUUCUUUAAGUGAUGUGGUAGAAGCAAGGCUAUGGAUCCAUGAUUGGUUGGCGAUUUUCAUUGCCCAGUACAACAAGGCAUACAAGAACGUCAGACCUGCUGAUUCUGGAGUUUCUGAUAUUGACGUUGAUUUCUCAAACUGCUCACAAUUGCAGCCUCUGGCACAGCUUGUAUUUGCAUUUCUAGUAAGCCCAUUACUUCAAGUUCAGGAUGAACAUAUUCAUCCAGAUUACCAGACAUAUUUGCAGUGCCUCUUCAGUGCACUGGAACCGGCUUCUCUUCGGCAAGCUAUAUGUCCUACACUGAGUUCGUACUCCUCUCUUGAUACAGAAGCAGAAGUGCAUCAGUCUCUAAGUCGCAGUGUAUUCACCAGUGAGAGACCAAUAUUCCUUCUUGACGCCUACACUGACCUUUUGGUGUAUUACUUGCCUACAGCCAGCCCUUCAAUUCCCUUUCCUCCUCCACGUGACUGUCUGUUGAGAUCAACGGUCGAUAGGUUGAAGCAAGAAAGGACCUUAACUCCCAGGCUUGCUUUUAUUCAUGGUGCACGUGAUGAUACAACAACAUUUGAGAAAUACCUGAUUGAGGAUCGGGCUCUGGAUGGCACUCUGCUGGUUGGCUCUAUAGGUUUCAGAUCCUUCCUUGAGGAGGUUAGAAGCAGAGUAGCCGAGUUUGGAAUAUAG